rnacentral:rRNA from 1 species
AACGAACGCUGGCGGCAGGCCUAACACAUGCAAGUCGAGCGAGGACUUCGGUCCUAGCGGCGGACGGGUGAGUAACGCGUGGGAACGUGCCCUUUGCUUCGGAAUAGCCCUGGGAAACUGGGAGUAAUACCGGAUGAGCCCUUUGGGGGAAAGAUUUAUCGGCGAAGGAUCGGCCCGCGUUGGAUUAGGUAGUUGGUGGGGUAAUGGCCUACCAAGCCGACGAUCCAUAGCUGGUUUGAGAGGAUGAUCAGCCACACUGGGACUGAGACACGGCCCAGACUCCUACGGGAGGGAGCAGUGGGGGAUCUUAGAAAAUGGGGGAAACCCUGAUCUAGCCAUGCCGCGGGAGCGAUGAAGGCCUUAGGGGUGGAAAGCCCCUUCAACUGGGAAGAUAAUGACGGUACCAGCAGAAGAAGCCCCGGCUAACUCCGUG